UGCGUAGGGUGCGAGCGUUGUCCGGAAUUACUGGGCGUAAAGAGCUCGUAGGUGGUUUGUCGCGUUGUCCGUGAAAACUCACAGCUUAACUGUGGGCGUGCGGGCGAUACGGGCAGACUGGAGUACUGCAGGGGAGACUGGAAUUCCUGGUGUAGCGGUGGAAUGCGCAGAUAUCAGGAGGAACACCGGUGGCGAAGGCGGCAUCCUGGACCGGCAUUGACGCUGAUGAGCGAAAGCUAGGGGAGCAAACGGG
rnacentral:rRNA from 1 species